CCCAGCUCCCCAUGCUAGAGCACUUUUUCAAUGUGCUCCCCAGUGACAAGGCGACGACGCAUUCGUAUGUCAAUCCUUAUCAACUUUCGAUGCCAUUUACUGCGCCUACCAUGGUGACCAUGGGUAAUGGGGAAUCAGGGUUCGAUUCCAUACAGGGACCCUGACAAAUGGCUACCGCAUGCAAGGAAGGCAGCGGGCGCGCAAAUGACCCACUCCCGACACCGGGGAGGUAGUGACG